UGGGGAAUUUUGGACAAUGGGGGCAACCCUGAUCCAGCCAUCCCGCGUGUGCGAUGAAGGCCUUCGGGUUGUAAAGCACUUUUGGCAGGGAAGAAACAGCCUGGGAUAAUACCCCGGGCGACUGACGGUACCUGCAGAAUAAGCACCGGCUAACUACGUGCCAGCAGCCGCGGUAAUACGUAGGGUGCAAGCGUUAAUCGGAAUUACUGGGCGUAAAGCGUGCGCAGGCGGUUCGGAAAGAAAGGUGUGAAAUCCCAGGGCUUAACCUUGGAACUGCACUUUUAACUACCGAGCUAGAGUACGUCAGAGGGGGGUAGAAGUUCCACGUGUAGCAGUGAAAUGCGUAGAGAUGUGGAGGAAUACCGAUGGCGAAGGCAGCCCCCUGGGAUGAUACUGACGCUCAUGCACGAAAAGCGUGGGGAGCAAACAGGAUUAGAUACCCUGGUAGUCCACGCCCUAAACGAUGUCAACUAGUUGUUGGGGAUUCAUUUCCUUAGUAACGUAGCUAACGCGUGAAGUUGACCGCCUGGGGAGUACGGUCGCAAGAUUAAAACUC
rnacentral:rRNA from 1 species